rnacentral:lncRNA from 1 species
AGUGAACCAUACAAAAAAUUAUAAGAUGUUAUUUGGAGUUCAACCCAAUGGGGUAUUUAGCUAAAGAAGGGUUCUAGUGCAAAGUAUGCCAACCCAAUAUUUUAUUGGAGUUUAAACUAAUUUAUGAAACAAAGGUUUCAUAAUAUAUUUCAAAACCUCUUUUAUGUAUUACUUAUAAAGACCUAAUGACAUUAUAUAAGCAAAAGUAUUUUUAUUUAUUUUAUUUUGAAAAGAUUCAAGUCCCAAAAGCUCACACUUUGGAGGAUUUAAAUUUACAAAUUUUCUGUAGUUUAUUUGGACUUAUUUGGAGUUAGGAAUCAAAAGUUAUUAAUAAAAACAGAAAAUGAAAAAAAAAUGAAAAAAAAAAGAGAAUAGACAGACGCAACAGGGCCGGCCCAUCUUCACCGAGCAGCCCAGCGAGCACAAGCUCGUGCUCGUGUUUUUGCUCCUCUGCACGUAUAAAGGAAACCCCUUCUUUCAUAUUUUCUUCAUUCGAUUUCUUUCCUUCCCGCGUGUCUCUCUUCGAAAGAAAAUCACCCCAUCAAUCAUCACCAUCCUAGGAACCGAUUCAGGCAAUCAAUUUGAUGUUUCCUCUCAUAAUCGCCGUUUCCAAAAGAGGCGCCCCGAAUGCCGCCCGUCAACAUCCAUGCCCGAUCUCCCUCCUCGGCCAGUAUAAAAGAAUUCCACGCGCGUCAGUUCGAGCCUUUGCCUCUCCUCUUCCAUUCCCAUGUAGAAAGUUUGGCCUCAAAAUCUCUGUACAGCUGGCUACGUCGACGUCUUUCUCCGCCCGUCGCCUCCGCCAUUGUUGCCGGUGAGCUCUCCCCGAAGGUCCGUUUUUAAAUUCCUUUCACCGGUGCACUCACG